UCUAAAGUUUCGGGGGCUCUGAGCUGAGCGUGGCCGCCGCUCCGCCUCCCUCCGCCGCCAUUUACUGCGCCCCGGCCCGGCCCCCGACGCGCCCGCACCAGCACUGACAGCGGCGGCCGCGCUCCAGACCCGGAUGUGAGGCCGGGAGGAGAGAGCGCGAGAGGGAGAGAAACACCCACCGGGCUGGCUCGGCCGCUCCCGGGAGAGGGGGGCCGCAGCGCCCCCUGGUGGCCGGAGCCCCGCGGGCGGAGAGCCGCCCCCAGCCCCGGAGGGAGGAGCUGGGACCCCGGGGCCGCGGACCAGGGGUCCACGGCAGGCUGCUCACUAGGACCUGGGGAACUCAGGGGCAGCAUUACAACCAAUGGCCACCCAGUGGAUAUAGGAGCCUAAAGGUUUCCACACUGUUUUGAGACAACUUGAAGAGCCAUCUCAGCUCCAGAGUUCUUCCAGGAAUAGUGUGUUUCCUGGGGAAACCAACUUGAACCACCCACACGCUUCUGCUCCUAUUAA